rnacentral:tRNA from 1 species
GACUUUUUAGUUUAAAAAAAACCAUGGCCUUGUAAGUUAUAAAUCAAAAUAAUUUUGAUUAGUCU